rnacentral:lncRNA from 1 species
UCGGUAGGGAUUAAGUGGACUCAUUCAGUAUGCCGGUGAGGUAUAAGUGGACCUACAGGGAUUAAGUGGACCUAUCUGGGACGCCGAUAGGGAUUAAGUAGACAUCAAGACGCUGAUGGGGUAUAUAGGUGACCUCCUUGGGACGCCAGUAGGGUAUUUUGUGAAAUCUUUUGAAUUAUGCACUGCCGUUAAAAUGUUAUACACAUUUCAAUUAUUCGAAUUAUACUUAAUUAUGCAUUUUUUAAAGUAAAACUGUUGAUGCAUUUCUGUUAAUAGAUCUCCUUUUUGAAAAUAUUGAUAUCUUUCAACCAUGAUUAUUUUUAGGAUUAUGAUGACCACUUACUGAGUAGCCAAACUCAUCAAACUAUGGUAAACAUUUCUUUCAGGAUAACUGCGGUUUCAUUUUUAGUGCUCGUCAGGAUCAACUUUGAAAGAUAUUGUAGUUGUGCUUAAACUUUCUUUUGUUACUUUGUAAGAAUUUGUCAUUGUAAAAUUGUUCUGUCAAGAGAUGUAUAUAUGUUU